rnacentral:misc_RNA from 1 species
UACAGAGACAAGAAAGGAAUACAGGAAAGCAACAAAACCCCAUCACCCCAAAAAACGAAACAGUACUUUUUUUGCUCAUGUAUUGCAAAAAGUAAAAAUCCAGCAGGAGAAUCAAAAGUUAAGCCACUGCUACGGCCUACAAGUAUUUCACAGGCAGAGAAAACCAAAUUUCCAAAGAAAUAGAGAAAGGGAAGAGCAAAAACACAAAAUGUUGAAGCUAAAAGCCUAGAGAUGGUAAAUGGCUGAUCAGUUGAACGUGAAUGGACUGGAAUUAGCAACCAAGUGAUGAUAAAUAAUUACAAAAAAAUUAAAAAGGUCUUUCCUUUCCGGUUUAAAAAUCUUGCCUUUUCUCUGAGUUUUGCUCAUCUUUCUUUCUUUCUGUACAAUUGGCUUUGGAUGUAUC